UUUAUUUAAUCAUUUAUUCAUCAUAUAAGAGAUGGCAAAACAGGCAAUGAAAAUUUUAUUAGUAACUGAGGCUUUGCUUCACGCAUUAUUAUGGUUUUAAUGUGAGGCGCCUCCCAAAAGCCCAUGGGUGAGACAAUGCAAGAAGAUUCAGAGGAGAAAUAAUUGGAUUAUGAGAGCCUUAACUCAAUCAGUGAAUUCAUCCUCUGAUGGAAUUAAUUAAGUGGUAACUGAAGGUGGAGAGGUUGUGGCUACAGGAGAUGGGUCAUUGGGGGUGUGCCUUUAAUAUAUAUUUUCUGUCUGGUAAGUGGAGUCUCUUUCUCUGCCUCCUGAUCAUCAUGUGAACUUCUUCCCUCCACCACACUCCUCUGCCAUGAUAUUCAGCCUCACCUUGAGCCCCCAGGAAUGAAGUCAACCUUUGAAACCAUGAGCCCUCAAAUAAACUUUUUCUCCUCUACAAUUGUUCUGGUCAGGUCUUUUAGUCACAGCAGCAGGAAAGCUGACUUUUUCCUUAGAAGGAUAAUAAACAAGCACUAAUGUUGAAAUGCCAAUAGGCUAAGAGUCUUUGGAAAGAAUUGUUUUUCCAAAGCUAAUAAAGUCUAAAACCUCAAAGCAUAAUAACUUAAGUGGCCUACUUUGACCGUUUAUCUAUGUCUUAGUUCAUUUUCUGUUGUUAUAACAAAAUGCCUUGUGGUAAAGGAAAAAGGCUUGGUGAGCUUACAGUUUUGGACAUUCAAGAGCAUGGCAUCACCCUUGAUGAGCUCUGGUGACAUUCUAUGGCAGAUGGUGUCACAUGGUGGAAGUGUGUAUAAAAAGAGAUCACAUGGUAAAGCUAGAAACCAGAGGGAUUCAGAGGUCAGGUUGGUCAUUUUAUAACAACUCACUCUUGAGAGAACUAACUGGGGUCCUACAAGGACUACAUUAAUCCCUGCAGAGGGCAGUGACCCUAAGGACCUAAUAACCUUGCACUGGGCUCCACCUCUUAACGGUUCUACUACCUCUCAGCAUUGGGUCACUGAGGACCAAGCUUCUAGUAUGUGAGACUUUGAAGGAUACACACAAGCCAUAUUCAAGUCAUAACAUUCUGUAAUCUAUUCCAAAAUCCAUUACUUUGAUUCAUUACUUUAAAAUCAACUGUCAUCAACCAGAAGGAAAGGAACCAGAGAGCAUCAGCAACCAGGACUUAAAAACAAGUGACUCUCAAAGUUAACAUUUCAAAUGAAAAGGUUUAAGGUUUUAUUUUAUUCCCAGUAAAAGUAUACCUUCAAGCCCUCAAGAGAGGAAAAGGAAGAAAAGUCAAAAACAAUAAACCUAGCAGUGCUGAGACCUCUACUUCAACAAGGGCCAAGAUGGUCUGGCAGUGGCCUUUCUCAGAUCUUGUCUCUGAGGGGCUGGCAGAGAAACAAAUGGCACUUGGAAUAUGCUUCUUGGUUUCUCUGUUCACUCUCUACCUGUUCUUUCCUGAAUGAAAAGAAAAGUGUUGGCUUUAGAUAAUUUUUCAGAGUUAUCUGAGAUAAGUUAAAAACAAAAUCAAAUAGAAAUAUAUUUCAAGUCACCCAGAAUCUUGUCUUUUAGAUUUCAUCUUUAGGAUCAGUCAAUAAUAUGUUAUAACAUUUUCCUACUAAAAAAAAAGAAUAUCUGGAAAUAUGAAUAUUUCCCUAAGCAACUUAAAUACGCAUAAAAACAUUUUCCCCAUAGGAAAAGGGCACAACUAUCUCAUAUAUUUUAUGUUUACAAAAUAAAAACAUGAUUUUAUAUCUUAAAUAUUUAUUCAUUCUAAAAAAAGAGAGUGAAAGUUACAUGGUGUUAGUUCAACCAGGAAAAUAUAUUUCAUCAUUAUGACAUCCUUUAUCAAUGUUUAUUACUGUGCAGAAAAAUACCAUGCAUUGAGUGACUUAAAGCAGCCACAUUAUGGGUUCAUAAUUCCAUGGAUUAAAUAUAAGCACUGCAUGGCUGAACUCCCACUCAGAAUUACACAACAGAAAUCAAGGUGUCAGCCAGGGCUAUGAUCUUAUCUGGUUUCCUAAUCCUCUUUCAAGCUCCCCACCAAUUGGCAGGAUUAAAAUUUCCUUGCAAUUGUGGACUGAUCUCCUGUUUCCCUGUUAGUUGUGGGUGGAGGACUGUUUUCAACUCUUUGAGGCCACCUCUUGCCAUAUGCCAUCUAUAAAAUGAAUGAAUGUUGCUUUCUUCCAGGCCACUAGAACAUGUCUCUAUGACUUCUCCUGGAACCAGACUGAGAAAAAUUCUUUGCUUUAAAAAAUUUCAGACAGCCAUAUGUGGUGAUGCAACCCUGUAAUCCCAGCACCUCCAGAGGCUGAAGCAGGAGGAUCACAAGUUCGAGGCUCUAAGCAACUUAGGAAGAUCUUGUUUCAAGAUAAAAAAUAAAAAGGGCUGGGGAUGUAGCUCAGUAAUAACUUUGGGUUCAGUCUUUAAUACUGCAAACAACAACAAACUCAUGUGAUUUGAUUAGGAUCACAAAGAAAAUCUCCUUUUCUUGAAGCAAAUUGUGUAACACGACUCAACCUCAUCAGGGUAAAAUCCAUCGUAUUUAUAAUCACAAGGAUUAUGCAGGGCAUGUACAAUAGGGAAGGGAAUCUUGGACGCUAUCUUGGAAUUCUGCUGCUCACAUGUUCUUUUACUAUAAUGAUUACUAGAGGAACAGCGUUUCUAAGGAGUAGGUUUAAAAAAAAAGAAAAAGAAAAAAAGAAAAGAAAGACAGUCCCAAAGAAGAAAUGGUCCCAAUGAAGAUCAAAAGAAGUCAGGGUAAAAAAAAAAAAAACUUGUUAUUGUUGUGUGAUGAGACAGAAAUCUUGACUAUAGUGAUUCCAUUUUGUUUAGUGACUCCAUUUUGUGAAACAGCCAUGCCAACUAGAAAGGUCAUGACUGGGGCAAGUUGUUUUUCCUUUUGUUGUGGAUACCCUCAAGAACACGGAACUAUCUAACUGGGCUUUGUUUCUGUAAAUGGGGUAACUGGGCUUAUUUUGAUUGGCUAACCCUCCCACUUCUGUUAACUUGCUUGCUUGCAUUAGCUAAACCCCCUAACAUCUCUUUUGUGUGUGUGUGUGGUUUUUUUUUUUGCUUAAAUAUGAAGCCAACUUGAAGGGGGUACACCACUCUGACUAUCUCACUUUUA
rnacentral:lncRNA from 1 species